ACCUGAACCUGACAGCUCAACUUGGAGACGAUGUCACCCUGAGCUGUCAGGCUCCUGAUGUCAACAUCGCAGCAGCAGAGUGGAGCAGACCUGACCUGAAGGAACUAGAACCUGUCUUCCUUUACCGAGACGGACACAUUGAGUCAGACUACCAGCAUCCGUCUUUUAAGAACCGGGUGGAGCUGAAAGACACAGAGAUGAAGAACGGCGACCUGUCUGUGAUUCUGAAGAAUGUGAAGGAGGAGGACAGUGGGACAUACGAGUGUCGCUUUAAAGCUGCUGGGGCCAAACGUGGGAAGAGAGCCAUUAUUAAAGCUCCUCCCAUCAGCACCAUCAGGCUGGAGGUUCUAUAUCCAGACUCUGUGGAUGACCAUGACCUUGAUGAACCUGCUGGGCGUGGACGAGCUGCAGCGGCUGUAGUUCCUGUACUGGCAGUGCUUAUUGUCGUUCUUUCUGCUGUGGCUGCUGUGAUGCGCAGAAAACAAAAAGCAAGUGGAGAACACAGACCGCUGUACAGUGAGGAUACAUGAACUCCUCAGCUGAAAGCAGGAGUGUGUCAGGAGUGUUAGGAGUGUGUCAGGAGUGUGUU